AGUGAACGCUGGCGGUAGGCCUAACACAUGCAAGUCGAACGGCAGCACGGUAAGAGCUUGCUCUUACGGGUGGCGAGUGGCGGACGGUUGAGGAAUACAUCGGAAUCUACUUUUUCGUGGGGGAUAACGUAGGGAAACUUACGCUAAUACCGCAUACGACCUACGGGUGAAAGCAGGGGAUCUUCGGACCUUGCGCGAUUGAAUGAGCCGAUGUCGGAUUAGCUAGUUGGCGGGGUAAAGGCCCACCAAGGCGACGAUCCGUAGCUGGUCUGAGAGGAUGAUCAGCCACACUGGAACUGAGACACGGUCCAGACUCCUACGGGAGGCAGCAGUGGGGAAUAUUGGACAAUGGGCGCAAGCCUGAUCCAGCCAUACCGCGUGGGUGAAGAAGGCCUUCGGGUUGUAAAGCCCUUUUGUUGGGAAAGAAAAGCAGCAGGUUAAUACCCCGCUGUUCUGACGGUACCCAAAGAAUAAGCACCGGCUAACUUCGUG
rnacentral:rRNA from 1 species